UACGUAGGGAGCAAGCGUUGUCCGGAAUCAUUGGGCGUAAAGAGCUCGUAGGCGGUGUGUCGCGUCGGCCGUGAAAACCUGCAGCUCAACUGUGGGCUUGCGGUCGAUACGGGCAUCACUGGAGUUCGGCAGGGGAGACUGGAAUUCCUGGUGUAGCGGUGAAAUGCGCAGAUAUCAGGAGGAACACCGGUGGCGAAGGCGGGUCUCUGGGCCGAUACUGACGCUGAGGAGCGAAAGCGUGGGGAGCAAACAGG
rnacentral:rRNA from 1 species